UACGUAGGGUGCGAGCGUUAAUCGGAAUUACUGGGCGUAAAGCGUGCGCAGGCGGUUUUGUAAGACAGAUGUGAAAUCCCCGGGCUUAACCUGGGAACUGCAUUUGUGACUGCAAGACUAGAGUGUGUCAGAGGGGGGUGGAAUUCCACGUGUAGCAGUGAAAUGCGUAGAGAUGUGGAGGAACACCGAUGGCGAAGGCAGCCCCCUGGGCUAACACUGACGCUCAGGCACGAAAGCGUGGGGAGCAAACAGG
rnacentral:rRNA from 1 species